rnacentral:pre_miRNA from 1 species
AAACUACUCCCUCCGUCCGGAAAUACUUGUCAUUGAAAUGGAUGUAUCUAGAUGUAUUUUAGUUGUAGAUACAUCCAUUUUCAUCCAUUUUGAUGACAAGUAAUUCUGGACGAAGGGAGUAUUUU